rnacentral:rRNA from 1 species
AUUGAACGCUGGCGGCAGGCCUAACACAUGCAAGUCGAGCGAGCGGCGGACGGGUGCGUAAUGUAUGGGGACUGCCCGAUAGCGGGGGAUAACUACUGGAAACCGUUUCUAAUACCGCAUACUGUGGGAUACCCCAUAGGGGAUUAGCUAGUCGGUAAGGUAAUGGCUUACCUAGGCGACGAUCCCUAGCUGGUCUGAGAGGAUGAUCAGCCACACUGGGACUGAGACACGGCCCAGACUCCUACGGAGGCAGCAGUGGGGAAUAUUGCACAAUGGGCGAAAGCCUGAUGCAGCAAUGCCGCGGGUAUGAAGAAGGCCCUAGGGUUGUAAAGUACUUUCAGUCGGGAGGCGGUACCGACAGAAGAAGCAACGGCUAACUCCGUGCCAGCAGCCGCGGUAAUAC